UCUACGGGGAGCUGCAGUGGGGAAUAUUGCGCAAUGGGCGAAAGCCUGACGCAGCGACGCCGCGUGAGGGAUGAAGGUCUUCGGAUCGUAAACCUCUGUCAGCAGGGAAGAACGGUCACUGUGCUAAUCAGCAGUGAAUUGACGGUACCUGCAAAGGAAGCACCGGCUAACUCCGUGCCAGCAGCCGCGGUAAUGCGGAGGGUGCGAGCGUUAAUCGGAAUUACUGGGCGUAAAGCGCUCGUAGGCGGUAUGUCAAGUCAAGGGUGAAAUCCCCGCGCUCAACGUGGGAACUGCCUUUGAAACUGGCAAACUGGAGUGUGUGGGAGGAGAGUGGAAUUCCAGGUGUAGGAGUGAAAGCCGUAGAUAUCGGGAGGAACAUCAGUGGCGAAGGCGACUAUCUGGCACAUAACUGACGCUGAGGAGCGAAAGCGUGGGUAGCAAACAGGAUUAGAUACCCCUGUAGUC
rnacentral:rRNA from 1 species